rnacentral:tRNA from 1 species
GGAGAUUUAGCUCAGUGGUAGAGCGCUUGCCUAGCAAGCGCAAGGUCCUGGGUUCGGUUCCCUGCUCCA